UGUGGUAAAGAGAGGGCUAGGUUAUCAAGGAAAGGAUUUUCUCGGGAGGGUUUUAAAAAUAGGUUUGUUCUACCCGGGAGAGAAAAGCAAUGAGCAGGUAAUUACAGGAAGAAAGACGGGGAUAGACUCCAGAACAUCAGAUUAUGAGAGGGGGUAUGGUCCCUGGCGCCCGUAGGGUUUCCCGUCAGAGUAAGAGGAAAACACCGUUUUGAGUUUCCAUUUUACAGAUGAGGCACUUGAGGCCAACAGAAGGUAGGUGACUUUCCCCGAGCUGUGAGGCCCCUGUGGACAAUGACUGGGUUUGACGCUAUUAUCUUCUGUCUACUUCAGUGGCUAAUAAUGCCUGGGCAUGCUCCUGUCUGCAAUGAAUCAGUUUAGAAAACUGGACCUGAGAAGCUCCCAAACAGGAGAGACAAAUGAGCCCUGCAAAGCCUGUUUGUGCAAGAGUUGUCUGACUCUAUUUUUUGAGAUCUGCAUGAAAACAGACUAUUUUGUUUCUUCCAAAGCUGGCUUGCUUAUUCUCUCUCACCCCAAAGUCAUGGUCUUCUGGUUGCUGACUAGAUAUGACCAGUGCAAGCCAGCUAUGCAAAUAAAAAUGCACAAAAAAAACAAGAAAAAAAAAAACUCUGCCCUAAUCUUCCCUGACCUGUUAAUUGACGAAUGCUGUGAAUCACUCCCUUCUCCAGAAGCUAUUAGGCCUUGGUUUUGCUGACAGGGUCCCUUAACUCAGUUCUUGCAUGUUUUUUGCUCUGUGUCAUUAAUUGGCUCCCCUUCAAACUUUGUUUUGUGAUGGGCCUCAGCCACUGCUUGUAUGUGAAAGGCUUCCAAAUAUUUUUCUCACCUAAAACUUGCAUUCACUCUUGGAUCUUCCACAGAGUCGUUAAAAACGUUUAAAACA